rnacentral:rRNA from 1 species
UACGUAGGGUGCGGGCGUUAAUCGGAAUUACUGGGCGUAAAGCGUGCGUAGACGGUUAUGUAAGUCAGGUGUGAAAGCCCCGGGCUCAACCUGGGAAUUGCAUUUGAGACUGCAUAGCUAGGGUGCGGAAGAGGGAAGCGGAAUUUCCGGUGUAGCGGUGAAAUGCGUAGAUAUCGGAAGGAACAUCAGUGGCGAAAGCGGCUUCCUGGUCCAGCACCGACGUUCAGGCACGAAAGCGUGGGGAGCAAACAGG